rnacentral:lncRNA from 1 species
UCGUCUCUCUUCCUGCGUCCGAUCCUUGUAGUAGACGAUCGAUGCACCGAUUCCUGUUCUACGCCUAUCGAAAACUUCGUCGAGUCGUGUGGUGAUAUGGUUGAAAGGAAAUGAAACGUUGUUUGUGUUAAACGAUGACGACGAUGACGAUGACGAUGAUGUUGAUGUUGAUGCAGGUGCAAGAUGCAUGCCGACCUGACCUACAACGCCGAGAGCAUCACCGCCGCUGAUACCCUCGUCAUGGGUGUCGCUCCCGCGAAAUCGUACGCGUCUCUUCUUCCCGAAAAAUCGGAACUUUAUCAAGAGACGUCUCUAAUCUAACUUUUUCCCGUUUGAUCCGUGAUGUAAUACGCUUCUUCUUUUUUUCGACAUACAGGUACUUCGAGGGGGCGGAGAUGGAGGCCGGAGCCGAGAACGGGUGCAAGUGCGGCUCGAACUGCACCUGCGACCCGUGCAGCUGUAAAUGAAACGGAUCGCGACCUUGAAUUCCAGCCCCGCCUACCCUCCCGAUCCCGGGGGGGGAACCGAUCGAGAGAGACCGGGUCUAGUGUUUUAGUAUAUAACAUGUUAAGUGUUGUCUGUGCGUCCUUCGCCGUCUGGGUCUUUUACCCUGUUGUCGGAAUAAAGCAGCCGCGGCUGGAUAUGUGCGACUGAUCCUGAACUUCCCUUGUUUAGGGUCCUCCUUUGAUGAAGGUGGCUCCAGCCGUGGCCGGCUUUGGUCUUUUCUUCUUUCUUUUUUUUUUUUUUGUUGUCUGUCUUCUUUGUAAAGGUCGCGUCUGAUCUGGGUGUCUCUGCUUCGGGCGGGUUGGUUUGUGUCGGGCUCAGAUGAUGAAUGAUAAAGGCGAUUGAAAGGUCUGUUCUUGCGGUCAAAAAGUUGGCACUAUCUCUUUAAAUUGACUGCCCGUUUUUCGUCUGGUAUCAUGGAUAAUUUGACUGAUGGGUACCGAAACGCAUUAUUACUCUUUUAUUGAAUAAAAGAUUAGUGUGAGGAAUAUAAAGAUUGGGUUGCAAAUCACAUGAUGUUUCUUUGGUGACUCGAGGGAGACUUGGAAGGGGUGAAUUAUUGAGGAAACAAAAGCGGGUAGCUGUCAAUUCUAUGGUUGAAACGCGUGCCUAACUUUACCCACGGAGAGUCGUCGAAGUUGGACUUUUUGCCAAUCUUAUCCAAUCACUGACCCCUACCUUGGAUGUACCUUAGAUGUCAUACGGUGCAUGCACCUUUAAAACGGGCGUGAUUCACUGUUUACAUCUAAGAUGUCAUCCGGUACAUGUAUAUCUAAAACGGGCGUAUACACUGUUUACAUCAGAACCGUUGAUUUUUCUUUUUCGGGUUGUUCAUUAAGUUAAAGUUUGGGUUUGUAAUGUUCUCCCGUCAUCAAAGUUUGGGUUUGUAACUUUGUAUGUGUUCCCGUGAUCAAAAAACC